GACGAACGCUGGCGGCGUGCUUAACACAUGCAAGUCGAACGGAAAGGCCCUGCUUUUGUGGGGUGCUCGAGUGGCGAACGGGUGAGUAACACGUGAGUAACCUGCCCUUGACUUUGGGAUAACUUCAGGAAACUGGGGCUAAUACCGGAUAGGAGCUCCUGCUGCAUGGCGGGGGUUGGAAAGUUUCGGCGGUUGGGGAUGGACUCGCGGCUUAUCAGCUUGUUGGUGGGGUAGUGGCUUACCAAGGCUUUGACGGGUAGCCGGCCUGAGAGGGUGACCGGCCACAUUGGGACUGAGAUACGGCCCAGACUCCUACGGGAGGCAGCAGUGGGGAAUAUUGCACAAUGGGCGGAAGCCUGAUGCAGCAACGCCGCGUGCGGGAUGACGGCCUUCGGGUUGUAAACCGCUUUCGCCUGUGACGAAGCGUGAGUGACGGUAAUGGGUAAAGAAGCACCGGCUAACUACGUGCCAGCAGCCGCGGUGAUACGUAGGGUGCGAGCGUUGUCCGGAUUUAUUGGGCGUAAAGGGCUCGUAGGUGGUUGAUCGCGUCGGAAGUGUAAUCUCGGGGCUUAACCCUGAGCGUGCUUUCGAUACGGGUUGACUUGAGGAAGGUAGGGGAGAAUGGAAUUCCUGGUGGAGCGGUGGAAUGCGCAGAUAUCAGGAGGAACACCAGUGGCGAAGGCGGUUCUCUGGGCCUUUCCUGACGCUGAGGAGCGAAAGCGUGGGGAGCGAACAGGCUUAGAUACCCUGGUAGUCCACGCUGUAAACGGUGGGUACUAGGUGUGGGGUCCAUUCCACGGGUUCCGUGCCGUAGCUAACGCUUUAAGUACCCCGCCUGGGGAGUACGGCCGCAAGGCUAAAACUCAAAGGAAUUGACGGGGCCCCGCACAAGCGGCGGAGCAUGCGGAUUAAUUCGAUGCAACGCGUAGAACCUUACCUGGGUUUGACAUGGAUCGGGAGUGCUCAGAGAUGGGUGUGCCUCUUUUGGGGUCGGUUCACAGGUGGUGCAUGGCUGUCGUCAGCUCGUGUCGUGAGAUGUUGGGUUAAGUCCCGCAACGAGCGCAACCCUUGUUCACUGUUGCCAGCACGUUAUGGUGGGGACUCAGUGGAGACCGCCGGGGUCAACUCGGAGGAAGGUGGGGAUGACGUCAAGUCAUCAUGCCCCUUAUGUCCAGGGCUUCACGCAUGCUACAAUGGCUGGUACAGAGAGUGGCGAGCCUGUGAGGGUGAGCGAAUCUCGGAAAGCCGGUCUCAGUUCGGAUUGGGGUCUGCAACUCGACCUCAUGAAGUCGGAGUCGCUAGUAAUCGCAGAUCAGCAACGCUGCGGUGAAUACGUUCCCGGG
rnacentral:rRNA from 1 species